rnacentral:rRNA from 1 species
AAAUUGAAGAGUUUGAUCAUGGCUCAGAUUGAACGCUGGCGGCAGGCCUAACACAUGCAAGUCGAACGGUAACAGGAAGCAGCUUGCUGCUUCGCUGACGAGUGGCGGACGGGUGAGUAAUGUCUGGGAAACUGCCUGAUGGAGGGGGAUAACUACUGGAAACGGUGGCUAAUACCGCAUAACGUCGCAAGACCAAAGAGGGGGACCUUCGGGCCUCUUGCCAUCAGAUGUGCCCAGAUGGGAUUAGCUAGUUGGUGAGGUAACGGCUCACCAAGGCGACGAUCCCUAGCUGGUCUGAGAGGAUGACCAGCCACACUGGAACUGAGACACGGUCCAGACUCCUACGGGAGGCAGCAGUGGGGAAUAUUGCACAAUGGGCGCAAGCCUGAUGCAGCCAUGCCGCGUGUAUGAAGAAGGCCUUCGGGUUGUAAAGUACUUUCAGCGGGGAGGAAGGUGUUGUGGUUAAUAAGCGCAGCAAUUGACGUUACCCGCAGAAGAAGCACCGGCUAACUCCGUGCCAGCAGCCGCGGUAAUACGGAGGGUGCAAGCGUUAAUCGGAAUUACUGGGCGUAAAGCGCACGCAGGCGGUCUGUCAAGUCGGAUGUGAAAUCCCCGGGCUCAACCUGGGAACUGCAUU